CUUUUUAACUGGUGCCGUGCAGCUCUGAGCCUCAAGUUUGCCCAACUGGGCAGAGGGAUCCUCCUCCUGUCGUCACUGAGAACAGCUGCUUUUCCUGGUCCAUCACUUGCCACAGGAGGACCAAGGAGAACAAGGAGCACAGGCCACAGCACUUACACUCCUGACAGCUCAUCUCUUGUUCCCUGAGUGUAUCAUUUGCUCUAACACAGGGCUCACAAUCCUCGUGUCACCUCUCACCACCACGGCAAUGACAACACAACUAAUGUCAACUGCCAGGGGACAAUUCUGUGCCCUCCUUGCCCAGCUGCUCCGCUGGAAUGAUUCUUAUUUCUCCAGAACAGCUUUUGUGUGAGUGUCUGAGCCUGAAUGAGGUCAGCUGCACCCAGCCCUGUCACAAAAUAUUCCCCUGCCAGCAGCAUUCCGAUGUGCUGCCCACAGUGCUGCUCCCAGGGUGACACCAGCACUCUUCAUGCCGGGAGAGCAAGUUUUCCACAAGGUGGCAUCAAAAUACCUGGGCUUCCCUGCUCAGAGCUCAGACCCCGAAGGAUUCAGGACUUUCCUGGGAUGCGUUCAGCAUCAGCUGUAGCCAGGGACAUCUCUGGGAAAAAGGAAGAGGGGAGCCUGUGUGAUGUGAUUGGUUUCAGGGAUUUGGCCUAGCAGGUUCAGCCUUCAACUCUGACACCCAUCACUGCCCCUAGAAAUAGGGGCUGCAAGAAUGUUUGACUGCCAGAGCUCACCCAGGAAAGGAAGCUGUGGACAGCAAACACCUGCAGAGACCACCGAGCUAAUGCUACCUCCUCCCUGCGAGCAACUGCAGUGAGGGGACUGUGGGGGUAUAGAGGGGAAUGACAGGAGUCACCAAAAACCCUAGGAAGAAACAAAGUCAUAGCUUGACUCAGGAGUGAUGUAUCCAAGUGAAGCAGGUUUGCCUUGGCAGGGCAGCAAAGCCAGAGAGAAACCCAGGGAGUUUAGAACAGUGAACAAAACCUAUUUGGCCCCAGAAAUCCUCCUUAUAUAGCUCUAGCAUGGCCUCAUGGUUUUAUUUGCAGAGCUGGGGAUGGGGAGUGGAAACAUUUGCCAGCCCUUACUCCACAGACAUCAUCCCUGGGGUGUGCCAGGAGAUGGUCCCAGGCCAGCAGUAGCAGUGGCCUCAAAUGCUGCCCCAUUAGAGCAGCAGUGGGACCGAUACCCCAGCACAGGCAUGGCUGUGUGCUGUGGCUGAAACUCCUGCCCCAGCUCCUGCUAUGCUUUGGGGAUGUGAAACCCAGUCCCAGCACACUCCAGAGCUGCCCUGGGUGAGUGCUGACCUGGCCACACCUGGCACUGAGCUGAGAAGGCUGUCAAAAGGAUGGGAUCAGACACUGACUAGGCAUAUUUGAGUGAACACAGAGUACAGCUUUGCAGUCUGUGGUGUUUGGAUUGUUUUGUCAAGAGGCAGGCUCUAGCAGGACUGUUGAAUGACUGCAGCCCUUGGAGACAUUGCAAGUUUAAUAAAUAAAAGAAAGAGACAAAACUCUGA